rfam:Triticum urartu cultivar G1812 contig732638, whole genome shotgun sequence.
UUUACUGUAUAGCAGAUCAGAUUCGCCAUUCUGAGCGGAUCGAUAAGUAAGGAUUUAACGAUGUCUACUAAGAUGACUGGUUUAGUAAAGUGGUUUGAUGCAGGUAAAGGUUUUGGUUUUAUCUCUCCUGCAGACGGUAGCAAAGACGUGUUUGUUCACUUCUCUGCAAUCCAAAGCAACGAUUUUAAAACGUUAGACGAAGGCCAAAAAGUCGAAUUCUCAAUCGAGAACGGCGCGAAAGGACCUUCUGCUGCAAACGUUGUUACUCUCUAAAUAAUUGAGAUGUUGUGAUAGUUACGAUAGCGAUGAAGGUGUUGACCGGAGCAGUUAAUUAUCACAUAA